AGCCGUCAGCAGGUCAUUUCUCUUGGACUACGCUCGAGAAACAGCAGAAUCACAGACUCUGCCUGAAGCAGUAAACUGAGAAGCCGCUGUGGGAUCAGUCGACUCUUCUUCAAACCAAGUUAACUGAUUCAAAGAAAUGGCAGAAAACACAAGAAACACCAGUGGAACUAUGAGUCCUCAACCAUAUGUCUAUCCCAAUGAAAGCGCAAGAGAGCAGGAAAAAAAGAAAUUCAGAAAGGAAGAAAGAGCACGCAGACCCGAACAGCUGUUUGUAAAUCAAAGAAAAUCGAAAGACGAUAAAUACCAGUUUUAUACUAAAGAUCCAGAAAAAUGGAGAAACUGGAUAAAAGAGGAGUUUGGUGAUGAAACUGAAACAAUAAUCACUUACAAAUAUGACACAGACAAAAGCACCAUAAUGUUACACAGCAAUGGAGAAUGUGUGAUACAUGUUUCAAAUGAGAAAAGGGGUGAAUUUCUCACAUGGUUCGGAGAAAAAGUCAAAAUUAACGUAAAGCAAGAAGAUCAAAAAACAGAAGACCUAAAUGAAAAAAUGAAAGAGUUGACAUUAAAAAAGUAACAACGAAACAACCUACAACCUUGCUCAUUGGUUGUCAUGUGAUUGUUGGGGUUUUCUCUGUGUUAUUGCAAGGUCUUCACCUUACAAUAUACAUUGUCCUGAAGCAACUGUUGUCGUGAUUUGCCUCUAAAAAGCACCACCCUUCCACAGCUCACAUAUAAUGAAAUAUUAUGUUAUCAAACCUUAUCUGUAGAGUGUAAAUCAGAACUGCUGUCUGUUGUGAAGCAUGUUUGCAGUUUUGUGGGUUUUUUUUUUUUUCUUUUUUCUUUGAAUUGACAAGAUAAUAUGUGUAAACAUUUGAUUUACUGUGCUUGGAAAUUUUUACUUUUUGUUUGCUUCACUGCACCUGUUCAAAAUAAAUUUGGAA